CAUUCAAUUUUUUUUUUCACUCUCAUGUCAUCCUUCAAUUAUAGUCAAAAAGGAGUUCUUCCCUUAUUCCACCAUAUCAAUCGGUUUUUGGGUUUUCUUGUAAUCUCUAUUGUUUUUUUAAAACAAUCUCAACUUUAUUUCCCCAAAUGGUCAAGGAAGUUGGUUCCAGUCAGAUCAUGUUCGGAAGUUGCAUAUUUCAAUGCAUACUUUAUUUUUUUAUAAAGUCAAAAUUCUUCAAGAUCUAGAUAUUCCGAUCUCGAUCAAGAUAUCACUGACAUCCUUGACUGUGUGAAAGUGUUGAUUGUUGAUUUUAACAAAUUCAAAGUUCAGACAGACAUCGACAUGGAUAGAUCUAUAUCAACAUUUUCAUGAAUUUUGAGACGGAAUAGAAUAGAGCUAUUCUGGUUUGUUACAUUAGUAAAAAUAAUCUCAAGACUUAUGAUUUUAUUUUAUUUAAAUUUCAGGUAUUCCGGUGAAUGUUGCAGCUAUUAUGGCUCUGUAGGAGAAUUCAUUCCCCUCUGGGUAACUCUGUCCGCAACUACAAAGACUAAUCUCUUUAGUUGGGUGGGAAAUCUCUCGCUCAAAAAAUUUAACAAUGUUGCAUUAUCAAGGCUGAAUUCAAACUCGUAUUCCAGUGAAUGUUGCAGCUAAAGUUGUGGCUCUGUAGGAGAAUGCAUUCCUCUCAGUAUGUUUUUUUUCUUCUU